AUGGUUUGGAAGAAUGUGGAUCAUGUUUACAGUUUAGCGAUAACAGCCGUGGUGGGUAUCGACUUAUCUGGCAACUCUCUUACACUAGAAAUCCCAAAUGGGCUCACAACCCUUCUUGGACUCAGGUACCUGAACUUAUCAGGAAAUCAUCUGUCAGGCUAUAUUCCUGGAGACAUUGGCAAUCUGGUACUGCUGGAAUCCUUGGACCUUUCUCGGAACCAACUCAGGGGGGAAAUUCCUCGAGGCUUUGCAGAUUUGAAGAGCAUAAGCAAUCUGAACCUCUCAACCAACAUGUUAUCAGGGAGGAUACCUAUGGGUGAUCAGCUGCGGACACUUGAUGACCCGUCAAUAUACAGCAAUAAUCUUGGGUUAUGCGGAUUUCCGUUGGAAGACUGCGUAAGCUCGUCAACACCGACGCAACCUGAAACGAGUCUGGAUGAAGAUAGAGAGGCGCUGUGGUUUUACUGCUUUGUGGCUGCUGGGUUUAUCUCUGGGUUCUGGCUAUACUUGGGCUUCUUGUUUCGCAGGGAGACAUGGAGAUAUUCAUUCUAUCAGUAUGUGGACAACAUGCAAGCGAAGGUGACCAAGAAUAUACGAAGCUGCAUUUCGUGCUUCCAGGUUAAAGGGCCUGAAUGA
rnacentral:rRNA from 1 species